GUGCCAGCAGCCGCGGUAACACGUAGGGCGCAAGCGUGGUCCGGAAUUAUUGGGCGUAAAGAGCGUGUAGGCGGCCAGAUAGGUCUGCUGUGAAAACUCGAGGCUCAACCUCGAGCUGUCGGCGGAAACCGUAUGGCUAGAGUCCGGAAGAGGAGAGUGGAAUUCCCGGUGUAGCGGUGAAAUGCGCAGAUAUCAGGAGGAACACCUAUGGCGAAGGCAGCUCUCUGGGACGGUACUGACGCUGAGACGCGAAAGCGUGGGGAGCGAACAGGAUUAGAUACCCUCGUAGUCC
rnacentral:rRNA from 1 species